ACUCAAAUGAAUAGACGGGGACCCGCACAAGCGGUGGAGCAUGUGGAUUAAUUCGAUACUAACCGAAGAACCUUACCCACGCUUGACAUCGAUGGCAAGCCCUAGAGAUAGGGCCCUCCCCCACAAGGGGACCUGAAGACAGAUGUUGCAUGGCUGUCGUCAGCUCGUGCCGUGAGGUGUACGGUUAAGUCCGCCAACGAGCGCAACCCUCGUCCUGUGUUACCAGCGAUUAAAGUCGGGCACUCACAGGAGACCGCCGGUGUAAGCCGGAGGAAGGUGGGGAUGACGUCAAGUCAGCAUGGCUCUUACGCGUGGGGCUUCACACAUGCUACAAUGGGCGAAACAAAGGGCAGCAAUACCGCGAGGUGGAGCAAAUCCCAAAAAUACGCCCCCAGUUCAGAUUGCAGUCUGCAACUCGACUGCAUGAAGGCGGAAUCGCUAGUAAACGCAGGUCAGCUAUACUGCGUUGAAUACGUUCCCGGGUCUUGCACACACCGCCCGU
rnacentral:rRNA from 1 species